rnacentral:lncRNA from 1 species
GCCUCCGGAACGCCGCUUCGCCUCGGAAUUGGUUUUAAAAUUCCUCUGCCGUAGCCGCCUAUAAAGCACCAACCGGCUGUGUUAAAGCUCAGCUCGUGCCACUCCAGCCAACGAUGGGCCUCAGAUAGUCAGCCAGUGGUCCCCUUUGUGUCCCGACUUGCUCCAAAAACAGAGGACGCCCUUCCAAAUAACACUGGACACACUCCAGACAUGAUGCCGCUUUUAAAGUUUACUCAAAGCAGCCACAUUUCUUAAAGAGUCAAUGUCAGGCUGCUUCUCACCCUCACUUUAUCCACCCUUGUAUCCCUAUUUGUGGUGCUUUUUUUCUGUAUUAAAGGCUUCUACAAGCUAAAUAGACCCAUAAAAAUUGCUAUGUCAGUGAAAAUCGGAAACACAUUUUCAGGGUAAUCAGUUCCCCUUAUUACAACAUGGAUUCUAUGCAUCCUAAAUGGGAAAAUCUUUAGAAAUGUAUAAUUAAUAUAUGAUCUCUAUUGCUUGAAUUAUUUUAUGGCUCUGACGCUGUCGCCACGUUACCCAACGCUAACCCAGCGUUAUUUGUGCUCACAUUAAGGUGUGACCGUUUAUUUUCUCUCUGCAGAUCGCUUUGAAGUGAACGCCGCAAGGAGCCGCGACGACACACUGGUGCGUUUGUCCUCCCUCUGACACCGGUGGGAGGGAGCUGCCACAGCUCCGUCGCUCUGACCUCCGGCUCGUUGGGAUGCUGGUGUGAAACCUCUGAUGGGGACCAGGGAUUGAAAUCUGUCUUCAGCUUGCUGCCGUGGCUCAAAUUAGUUUCGCUUCUUUGUUCUACGUUGAAUUAACGCUGGCUUCAUGUCGUACAUCCUGUUGGUGGAUCCUGUCAAAUGCUAACGGCGCACCCGUCACGUCGCUGGGAUCGGGUCCAGCCUCAUCAGCGCUCGCAGUGACACCAUCGAUUUUGC